rnacentral:rRNA from 1 species
GGAGUCUGGACCGUGUCUCAGUUCCAAUGUGGGGGACCUUCCUCUCAGAACCCCUACUGAUCGUCGACUAGGUGGGCCGUUACCCCGCCUACUAUCUAAUCAGACGCAUCCUCAUCCAUCGCCGAUAAAUCUUUACUUACAAAGAGAUGUCUCCAUGUAAGACCAUCAGGUAUUAAUCUUUCUUUCGAAAGGCUAUCCCUGAGCCAUGGGUAGAUUGGAUACGUGUUACGCACCCGUACGCCGGUCGCCAUCUAUCAAAGCAAGCUUCGAUAAUGCUGCCCCUCGACUUGCAUGUGUUAAGCCUGUAGCUAGCGUUCAUC